CACGCAGGCGGUUUAUCAGGUCGGAUGUGAAAUGCUGGGGCUCAACCCCGGAACUGCGUUCGAAACCGGUAAGCUGGAGUUUCGGAGGGAGAAGGGGAAUUCCUGGUGUAGGGGUGAAAUCCGUAGAGAUCAGGAGGAACACCGGCGGCGAAAGCGCCUUCUUGGACGAUGACUGACGCUGAGGUGCGAAAGCGUGGGGAGCAAACA
rnacentral:rRNA from 1 species